rfam:Candidatus Nasuia deltocephalinicola str. NAS-ALF, complete genome.
AUCGAUAUGGUGAAAUGGUAAACACACCACCUUAAGGUGGUGGCGGCUUUAUAUGCCUUAUGAGUUCGAAUCUCAUUAUCGAUA